UACGAAGGGGGCUAGCGUUGCUCGGAAUCACUGGGCGUAAAGCGUGCGCAGGCGGUUUUGUAAGUCCGCUGUGAAAGUCGGGGGCUCAACCCUCGGAUGCCGGUGGAUACUGUCGGGCUUGAGUACGGAAGAGGCGAGUGGAAUUCCUGGUGUAGCGGUGAAAUGCGCAGAUAUCAGGAGGAACACCAAUUGCGAAGGCAGCUCGCUGGGACGUUACUGACGCUGAGACGCGAAAGCGUGGGGAGCAAACAGG
rnacentral:rRNA from 1 species